AAUAGGCUCCACAUAUCCAAUCCCCAAGUGUGCCACCUUUCUUUGGGCCUAAGACACAGCCUAGAAUGUUCAAGAUCCUGAUUGCUGAAAAGGAUGGUGAAGGUUUUCAGCCAGUUCUUCCUCGGACAGUGAACAUGGUGGUCAGAUGGAUCCCGCAUAAGAGAGAGCUGACAACCAUAGAGGCUGGCGAUUGGUUGAUGUACUGGGGACACACAACAUUCCUAGAGGUCAUCAUGCUUGGAGACUACCAGACUCCUAUAGAAUGCACCAUCAUAGAGUGGAUGGGCUUUGCAGAAUAUGCAGUAUGUGGCUUCUCCUAGACCAAGUAUAAGGGGAAGCUCACUGCAGUGUGGACUAUUCCAUGGAAUGGAGGGCUAGGCCCAGCAACACAGUAUUCUCUUGGAAAUACGUUACUCCAUGACUACACUCUCAAUCCUAACAUGGAACUAUUGGGGACUGAGUUCUGACAAAAACAGACUUAACAAGAGAAUACAACUCAAGUCCCACAUCUGGAAGAUCAGACUGGAGGGGAGGAUUGACAUACUAUGCAUUCAAGAGCACAAGAUGGUGAAGG
rnacentral:lncRNA from 1 species